CAGUAGCCGCGGUAAAACGAGGGGUGCAAGCGUUAUUCGGAUUGAUUGGGUGUAAAGGGUGUGCAGACGGCUUAUUAAGUCACUUGUUAAAUUCUUCGGCCUAACUGAAGGUCUGCAAGUGAUACUGAUGAGCUAGAGGGUGGAAGAGAGAAGUGGAAUUCUCGGAGUAGCGGUAAAAUGCGUAGAUCUCGAGAGGAACACCAAUGGCGAAGGCAGCUUCUUGGUCCAUUCCUGACGUUCCUACACGAAAGCGUGGAGAGCAAACAGGAUUAGAUACCCCCGUAGUCCCUGUCUCUUAUAC
rnacentral:rRNA from 1 species